rnacentral:rRNA from 1 species
UACGGAGGGUGCGAGCGUUGUCCGGAAUUAUUGGGCGUAAAGAGCUCGUAGGCGGUGUGUCACGUCGGCCGUGAAAACCUGCAGCUUAACUGUGGGCGUGCGGUCGAUACGGGCAUCACUGGAGUUCGGCAGGGGAGACUGGAAUUCCUGGUGUAGCGGUGAAAUGCGCAGAUAUCAGGAGGAACACCCGUGGCGAAGGCGGCUCUCUGGGACGGUACUGACGCUGAGACGCGAAAGCGUGGGGAGCGAACAGG